AUUGAACGCUGGCGGCAUGCCUAACACAUGCAAGUCGAACGAGUGGCGGACGGGUGAGUAAUGUCUGGGAAACUGCCUGAUGGAGGGGGAUGACUACUGGAAACGGUAGCUAAUACCGCAUACCAUCAGAUGUGCCCAGAUGGGAUUCGCUUGUUGGUGGGGUAACGGCUCCCCAAGGCGCAGAUCCCUAGCUGGUCUGAGCGGAUGACCAGCCAGACGGGAACUGGGACACGGUCCAGCAGCCUACGGUAGGCAGCAGUGGGGAAUAGUGCACAAUGGGCGCAAGCCUGAUGCAGCCAUGCCGCGUGUAUGAAGAAGGCCGUCGGGUUGUAAAGUACUUUCAGCGGGGAGGCGUUACCCGCAGAAGAAGCACCGGCUAACUCCGUGCCAGCAGCCGCGGUAAUUC
rnacentral:rRNA from 1 species